GAUGAACGCUGGCGGCGUGCCUAAUACAUGCAAGUCGAGCGAACGGACGAGAAGCUUGCUUCUCUGAUGUUAGCGGCGGACGGGUGAGUAACACGUGGAUAACCUACCUAUAAGACUGGGAUAACUUCGGGAAACCGGAGCUAAUACCGGAUAAUAUUUUGAACCGCAUGGUUCAAAAGUGAAAGACGGUCUUGCUGUCACUUAUAGAUGGAUCCGCGCUGCAUUAGCUAGUUGGUAAGGUAACGGCUUACCAAGGCAACGAUGCAUAGCCGACCUGAGAGGGUGAUCGGCCACACUGGAACUGAGACACGGUCCAGACUACUACGGGAGGCAGCAGUAGGGAAUCUUCCGCAAUGGGCGAAAGCCUGACGGAGCAACGCCGAGUGAGUGAUGAAGGUCUUCGGAUCGUAAAACUCUGUUAUUAGGGAAGAACAUAUGUGUAAGUAACUGUGCACAUCUUGACGGUACCUAAUCAGAAAGCCACGGCUAACUACGUG
rnacentral:rRNA from 1 species